CCUCACAUUCUGCACUAAGAAUUUUCAGUCAGACCUACACAGCAACAUGGCACAUGCUCAAGAACUUCAGCUCCAGAUCAGAGGUACAGGUACCUCCACAUCCUCUUUCUCCUUUUGUGUAUGAACUGUUCAGAUCAGUCUUGGUUGCGCAAACAUUUUUUGUUUCCUUGAUGUUUACCUCCUUCUGAUCUUGGAAAGUUGGACCGUUAUCGGUUUCUCUAAGAUCAUGUUACGGUGGCCGAUAAUCUCCAUGCGUCUGCAAGUCCAGCUUGGACUGUUUUCUUGCUCUGGACCAGCAAACAAGCAUCGAGAUCAUCUUUUCUUUCGAUGUCAACUAGCUCUUCUUACGCCAUAAUUCCGCCGCCAGCCGCCUGGAGCGUUUAGUGAAA
rnacentral:lncRNA from 1 species